GACGAACGCUGGCGGCGUGCCUAAUACAUGCAAGUCGAGCGGAACUGGGGGAGCUUGCUCCUUCCAGUUUAGCGGCGGACGGGUGAGUAACACGUGGGCAACCUGCCCUGCAGAUCGGGAUAACUCCGGGAAACCGGUGCUAAUACCGAAUAGUUUGGCGCCUCUCCUGAGGCGCCACGGAAAGACGGUUGCGGCUGUCACUGCAGGAUGGGCCCGCGGCGCAUUAGCUAGUUGGUGGGGUAACGGCCCACCAAGGCGACGAUGCGUAGCCGACCUGAGAGGGUGACCGGCCACACUGGGACUGAGACACGGCCCAGACUCCUACGGGAGGCAGCAGUAGGGAAUCUUCCGCAAUGGACGCAAGUCUGACGGAGCAACGCCGCGUGAGUGACGAAGGUUUUCGGAUCGUAAAACUCUGUUGUGAGGGAAGAACACGUACCAACUAACUAUUGGUACCUUGACGGUACCUCACCAGAAAGCCACGGCUAACUACGUGCCAGCAGCCGCAGUAA
rnacentral:rRNA from 1 species